rnacentral:rRNA from 1 species
UCGAUACCCCUUGGGUGCCGAAGUUAACACAUUAAGCAUUCCGCCUGGGGAGUACGGUCGCAAGACUGAAACUCAAAGGAAUUGACGGGGACCCGCACAAGCAGUGGAGUAUGUGGUUUAAUUCGAAGCAACGCGAAGAACCUUACCAGGUCUUGACAUCCCUCUGACCGUCCUAGAGAUAGGGCUUUCCUUCGGGACAGAGGAGACAGGUGGUGCAUGGUUGUCGUCAGCUCGUGUCGUGAGAUGUUGGGUUAAGUCCCGCAACGAGCGCAACCCUUGAUCUUAGUUGCCAGCACUUNGGGUGGGCACUCUAGGAUGACUGCCGGUGACAAACCGGAGGAAGGUGGGGAUGACGUCAAAUCAUCAUGCCCCUUAUGACCUGGGCUACACACGUACUACAAUGGCCGAUACAACGGGAAGCGAAACCGCGAGGUGGAGCCAAUCCUAUCAAAGUCGGUCUCAGUUCGGAUUGCAGGCUGCAACUCGCCUGCAUGAAGUCGGAAUUGCUAGUAAUCGCGGAUCAGCAUGCCGCGGUGAAU